GUGGGCGCAGUUCAGUACUUUCUUCAUACAAACGUAGGAGGGUGAUCACUACAUUAUUUGAUAUUGUACGCUCAAAACUAAGUAUUAUACCGAUUUGUCUUGUCAUUAUCUAGGUUUGUUGAUAUAUUAUAAAACAUUGAAAAAAUAUUGAUUUUAAAGUUGUGAACCUCGAAAGAUUCCUAUUUUAACACUAAAUUUAGGACAACUUUGUGCGUAAAUAUAAUAGAUAAGAUUAGGAGUAUGACAAUU